GAGAGUUAAAUAGUACGUGAAAUUGUUGAAAGGGAAACGAUUGAAGUCAGUCAUGCUAGUGAAAAUUCAGUUUGGUGGGUUUUGGGUUCAGGAGUUGAGGCAGGGUCAAACCGUUUCUCUUUUGAACUUGGAAUUUGUCAGAUGCACUUUUUCUUUGGCAGGUCAGCGUCGAUUUCGGAGGUUGUAAAAUACUCGGGGAAAAGUAGCUCUGCUUCGGGGGAGUGUUAUAGACCUUGGGUGAUGCGGCCUGCGGGAUCGAGGAUUGCAGCAAAUGCUUUUGGCUUGUCGCCUGAUCUCUGGACGUCAUCUCGCUUGUAUCAACAUUCUUGGUACCGGUGAGUAAUGGUGCUCAUAGGUUAGAGCGAUCAAAAAUUUUGCUAAGGAUGCUGACGUAAUGGCUUUAAACGA
rnacentral:rRNA from 1 species